ACUCCUACGGGAGGCAGCAGUGGGGAAUUUUGCGCAAUGGGCGAAAGCCUGACGCAGCAACGCCGCGUGAGUGAUGAAGGCUUUCGGGUCGUAAAGCUCUGUCGAGGGGAAAGAAGUGUAUUGUGGCUAAUAUCCACGAUACUUGACGGUACCCCUAAAGGAAGCACCGGCUAACUCCGUGCCAGCAGCCGCGGUAAUACGGGGGGUGCAAGCGUUGUUCGGAAUUAUUGGGCGUAAAGAGCGUGUAGGCGGUUUGUUAAGUCUGAUGUGAAAGCCCCGGGCUCAACCCGGGAAGUGCAUUGGAAACUGGCAGACUUGAAUACGGGAGAGGGUAGUGGAAUUCCUAGUGUAGGAGUGAAAUCCGUAGAUAUUAGGAGGAACACCGGUGGCGAAGGCGGCUGCCUGGACCGAUAUUGACGCUGAGACGCGAAAGCGUGGGUAGCAAACAGGAUUAGAUACCCUGGUAGUCCACGCCGUAAACGAUGAGAACUAGGUGUUGCGGGA
rnacentral:rRNA from 1 species